rnacentral:rRNA from 2 species
GGGGAAUAUUGGGCAAUGGAGGCAACUCUGACCCAGCAACGCCGCGUGAGGGAAGAAGGUUUUCGGAUUGUAAACCUCUGUCCUAGGGGACGAAGAAAGUGACGGUACCCUAGGAGGAAGCCGCGGCUAACUACGUGCCAGCAGCCGCGGUAAUACGUAGGGGGCAAGCGUUGUCCGGAAUUACUGGGCGUAAAGGGUGCGUAGGCGGUUUGGUAAGUUAGAUGUGAAAUCCCCGGGCUUAACUCGGGAGUUGCAUUUAAAACUGCUGAACUAGAGUGCAGGAGAGGAAAGCGGAAUUCCUAGUGUAGCGGUGAAAUGCGUAGAUAUUAGGAGGAACACCAGUGGCGAAGGCGGCUUUCUGGACUGUAACUGACGCUGAGGCACGAAAGCGUGGGGAGCGAACA